GCCCACAGCAGAGAACGCCUAUGAGUACUUCACCAAGAUCGCCUCCAGCCUGUUUGAGAGUGGCAUCAACCAGGGCCGUGUGGUGGCUCUCCUGGGCUUCGGCUACCAUCUGGUCCUACAUGUCUACCAGCGCGGCUUGACUGGCUUCCUGGGCCAGGUGACCCGCUUCGUGGUCUUCAUGCUGUAACACUGCAUCGCCUGGUGGAUCGCGCAGAGGAGCAGCUGGGUGGCAGCCCUGGACUUGGGCAAUGGUCCCAUCCUGAACGUGCUGGUGAUUCUGGGGGUGGUUCUGUUGGGCCUGUUUGUGGUACAAGGAUUCUUCAAAUCAUGACUCCCAAGGGUAUCCUUUGGGGUCCCAGCUGUGACCCCUGCCUGGACUUAAGCUAAGUCUUUGCCUUCUCUGCUCCCGUGCAGGGGUUGCCCUUCAAAAGCACAGAAGCUUUAGCAAGUGUGCACCCCAGCUUCGGAGGGCCCCUGUGUGGGGGCCAGUCAGGCUGCAGAGGUGCCUCAACAUCACCUGAUGCUAGUGGGCCCUCUCUCUGGGGCCAGGGGCUGUGCCCUCCUCCUUUGACUCUCUGGGACCUCCUUAGCCCUGUCUGCUAGGUGCUGUGGAGACUGAUAGCUUGGUGGGGGCGAGAGACUGGGAGCCACUUCUCCCCUGGAAGUGUUUAACGGUUUUAGCUUUUUAUAAUAGCCUUGGGAGAGCCCAUUCCCACCAUCCUACCCGAGGCCGGGACAGCUGGGGUGUGGGGGUUGGUGGGUCUACCCUAUGUUCCCCAGGAUUCAGCUGUUCUGGAAGAUCAAAGCCUAAGAGCUGGUACUUGAGGCUGGUCCUGGCCCUCCCUAAGCAUCAUGCAUCCCAGGAUCAGGACUGACUGGGAGAGGAGGACCAGGUCCUGCCCAGCUCUCUCCCUGCCCCCAUUCCUCCCUCUGGCCGUACUGCCUUUGCAGUUGGACUCAGGGAUUCUGGGCUUGGGGUGUGGGGCGGGGUGGAGUAACAGACCAGAGCUGUCUGAACUUAUCUGUCAGAAGCCUGCAAGCCUGCCUCCCAAGGUCCUCUCAGCUCUCUCCCUUCCUCUCUCCUUAUAGACACUUGCUCCCAACCCUUUCACUACAGGUGAAGGCCCUCCCCCGAUCCCUGGGGGCCUCGGGUGAGUGGUGUGCUAAGGCCCCUCCUUGCCCAGACCACAGGGCUUAGGACUUGGUUUGUUAUUUCAGGGAUAAGGAGUAGGGAGUUCAUCUGGAAGGCCUAAGUGGGAGAAGGACUAUCAACACCACUAGGAAUCCCAGAGGUGGGAUCCUCCCUCAUGGCUUUUGCACAGUGUAAUCCAGGGGUGGAGAUGGGGGAACUGUGAAUACCUGAACUCUGUCCCCCCACCCUCCAUGCUCCUCACCUGUCUGGGUCUCUCCUCGGGGUGGGCGUGAGGGUGCCUUCUCUAUCAGGCACAGCCUAGGAUGUUGGGGAUGAGGGGAGAGAAGUUCUUGAUUCAGCCAAAUGCAGGGAGGGGAGGCAGAUGGAGCCCACAGACCACUCCCUAUCCUCUGAGUGUUUGGAAAUAAACUGUGCAAUCUCAUUAAAAAAAAAAAAAAAAA
ensembl:lncRNA